UACGUAGGGUGCGAGCGUUAAUCGGAAUUACUGGGCGUAAAGCGUGCGCAGGCGGUUUUGCAAGCCGGAUGUGAAAUCCCCGGGCUCAACCUGGGAAUGGCAUUCGGGACUGCAAGGCUGGAGUGCGGCAGAGGAGACUGGAAUUCCUGGUGUAGCAGUGAAAUGCGUAGAUAUCAGGAGGAACACCGAUGGCGAAGGCAGGUCUCUGGGCUGACACUGACGCUCAUGCACGAAAGCGUGGGGAUCAAACAGG
rnacentral:rRNA from 1 species